AAAUAAACUAGUUAGAAUUUAUACUACAAAAACAUUUGCCUCUUAAAUGUAAAGCGCAUUAUUUUAAAACUCUCGUGUGGUCACUCCUUUCGCUAUGCUAGUCUGGAUUUUCACUCUUUGUGUGAUUUUUAUCAUCACUUCGACUCUUUGGAAGAAACGAUGGUUGUUGUAUCACGCUUGGAAAAUUCCUGGACCAUUCUCAGUGCCACUCGUCGGAAGUGUGGUCCUGUUAUCUGCAACAAAAGAUAAUUUUUUUGAAUUGGUUUGUAGAAAUCUGGAUUCGUACAGACCGGUUACAAAAGCGUGGGCAGGCUCACAGUUGUACAUAGUUACCACGAGACCGGCAGAUGUAGAAAAAAUUUUGACAAAUUGUCUAAACAAGUCACCUUUUUACGAUAAUUUUAACGAUGCAAUGAAAGACACUCUGCUGACAUCAAAAGUCAGUAUCUGGAAAGAACAUCGAAAAAUGAUCAAUCCCUCUUUUAAUAUGAAGAUUUUAAAUUCGUUUCACGAUACAUUUGUCAAGUAUUCAAGCGAAAUGGUGCAGUUUUUGUUUGACACGGAAGGUAGAGAACAAACGGAUCUCCAAGAAGUCAUUUGGGAAAAAACCCUGGAUGUUGCUUUAGCAACCUUAACAAGUGUAAAGCGGUCUGCAAUUAAGGAACGACGACGUGUUAUUGAAGUCACUGUGAAAUUCGAAAAAAUACUUGUAGAGAGAUUUCAUACAUUGUGGCUUCUCAUCGAUUUCUUUUGGAAAUUGUCUAACUUACAUAAGGAGCAUAAAAUGGUUUGUCAAAUUGGUCACGAACAUGCCGAGAACUUAAUAGCAGAAGAAUACAAAUCUUAUGAAUCCAAAGGUAGAAAUGAUGACGCAAUUCAAAGUAACCGAUUUCUACCUAAUUUGACUAAAUUAAGUCAAACUAAGCAGAUCACCCGUGAAGAAAUUUUGGAAGAAACGAUUUUUAUGAUGAUGGCGGCAAGCGAAACGGCAGCAAUCACAAUCAACACGAUUUUAACGAUUUUAGGAAUCUACUCAGACAUUCAGGAAAGACUUUACAACGAACUCGCCCUAGUUCUGCCAAAUAUCGAGAACAGUCCAAUUCAGGAAGAAAUCAAUCGUCUAGAUUAUUUAGAACGCGUUAUUAAAGAAGUUUUGAGACUAGUUCCCACAAUUCCUUUUAUUUUGCGAUAUGCUGAUGAAGACAUUAAAUGCGAUCCUUAUGUUUUCCCUGCCGGUUCUAACCUCGCCGUUCCUCUAGUGCUACUACACAGAGAUCCGGACGUGUGGCCCAACCCGGAAAAAUUUGAUCCAGAUCGGUUUCUCCCUGAUGAAGUUGGAAAAAGACAUCGUUGUUCGUACAUUCCUUUCAGCCUUGGAACCAGAAACUGUAUAGGUUUCAAAUUUGGAAUGAUGCUGGUAAAAGUAAUGGUUGCGACGAUUCUGAGGAAAUUCAAAGUGCGAACUGUGGGUAUGAAAUCAUGGAAAGACAUCAACUGGGACUAUAUGGUUAUGCUGAAGGCUAAAAACAGUCGUUUACGUUUCGAAAAAAGAAAAUUUUGACCAUAUGCAUUAUCUCCAAAAUGUUUGUAAUGUAUCAGUACGUUUCUGAACAUUCAAAGCCUUAGCAACAAAAUUCUUCAAACGAAUACAGUUCUACAGGCUGAUCAACCGCUUGAUAUUAUGUGCAUCAAUGAGCACUGGUUACAAGAGGAUCAGUUAGGUGUCUGUUUAUUUGAAAACUAUACGUUGUUGUCACAUUAUUGUCGACGCGAACAUAUACAUGGUGGUGUCUAAAAUUUGGAAUGAUGCUGGUAAAAGUAAUGGUUGCGACGAUUUUGACGAACUUCAAAGUACGAACUGUCGAAAUAAAAUCAUGGAAGGACAUCCAUUGGGACUAUUUGGUUAUGCUAAAGGCGAAAAGUGGUCGUUUACGUUUCUAAAAAAGAAAAUUUUUACUAAAAUGUAUGUAAUGUUUCGGUAGGUUUGCAAGUAUGAUAUACUAU